UACGGAGGGUGCAAGCGUUAUCCGGAUUCACUGGGUUUAAAGGGUGCGUAGGUGGGCAGGUAAGUCAGUGGUGAAAUCUCCGGGCUUAACUCGGAAACUGCCGUUGAUACUAUCUGUCUUGAAUAUCGUGGAGGUUAGCGGAAUAUGUCAUGUAGCGGUGAAAUGCUUAGAUAUGACAUAGAACACCCAUUGCGAAGGCAGCUAACUACACGAUCAUUGACGCUGAGGCACGAAAGCGUGGGGAGCAAACAGG
rnacentral:rRNA from 1 species